GGCUCAGUGGUAGAGUACUUGCCUUGCAUGCAUGAGGCCUUGGGUUCAAUUCCUCA
rnacentral:tRNA from 1 species